GACUAGUCCUGUGGUAGUGGGUUAUCAGAACUUAUAAACCUUAGUGUCACUAAAGUUGGUAUACAACUCCCCCACUGCUAAAUUUGACUGGCUUAAA
ensembl:Y_RNA Y_RNA Y RNA